rnacentral:rRNA from 1 species
UACGUAGGUGGCAAGCGUUGUUCGGAAUUAUUGGGCGUAAAGCGCGCGCAGGUGGUUUCUUAAGUCUGAUGUGAAAGCCCACGGCUCAACCGUGGAGGGUCAUUGGAAACUGGGAGACUUGAGUGCAGAAGAGGAAAGUGGAAUUCCAUGUGUAGCGGUGAAAUGCGUAGAGAUAUGGAGGAACACCAGUGGCGAAGGCGACUUUCUGGUCUGUAACUGACACUGAGGCGCGAAAGCGUGGGGAGCAAACAGG